AAACUUAAGCAUAUCAAUAAGCGGAGGAAAAGAAACUAACAAGGAUUCCCCUAGUAACUGCGAGUGAAGCGGGAAAAGCUCAAAUUUAAAAUCUGGUGGUCUUUGGCCAUCCGAGUUGUAAUUUAGAGAAGCGUCUUCCGCGCUGGACCGUGCACAAGUCUCCUGGAAUGGAGCGUCACAGAGGGUGAGAAUCCCGUCUUUGGCACGGACACACCAGGGCUUUUGUGAUGCGCUCUCGAAGAGUCGAGUUGUUUGGGAAUGCAGCUCAAAAUGGGUGGUGAACUCCAUCUAAAGCUAAAUAUUGGCGAGAGACCGAUAGCGAACAAGUACCGUGAGGGAAAGAUGAAAAGCACUUUGGAAAGAGAGUGAAACAGUACGUGAAAUUGUUGAAAGGGAAACGCUUGAAGUCAGUCGCGUCGACCGAGACUCAGCCUUGCCUUGGCUCGGUGUACUUCUCGGCCGACGGGUCAGCAUCAAUUUUGCCCCUUGGAUAAUGGCGAGGGAAAUGUGACACCUUUAUGGUGUGUUAUAGUCUCUUGUCGCAUGCAAGGGUUGGGAUUGAGGAACUCAGCACGCGCCUUUGGGUGUCGGGGCUUUGCCCACGAUACGUGCUUAGGAUGUUGGCGUAAUGGCUUUAAACGACCCGUCUUGAAACACGGACCAAGGAGUCUAACAUGCCUGCGAGUGUUCGGGUGGAAAACCCGUGCGCGCAAUGAAAGUGAAAGUCGGGACCUCUGUCGUGGAGGGCACCGACGCCCGGACCAGACCUUCUGUGACGGCUCUGCGGUAGAGCAUGCAUGUUAGGACCCGAAAGAUGGUGAACUAUGCCUGAAUAGGGUGAAGCCAGAGGAAACUCUGGUGGAGGCUCGUAGCGAUUCUGACGUGCAAAUCGAUCGUCAAAUUU
rnacentral:rRNA from 1 species